GGAAAGUGAUCGCUUCCAAGCAACUCAGGGGAGAGGCAAGAACGGUCCUUAAAAUUUUCCCUCACACUGAGCCCCUCAAGGCUGCCACCCACUGCCCCUAACCCCAGGCUACCCACCAAUUAAGAGACAGCCUUCAGGCCUCUGUCAUUUCCCAGGGUUGUCACUCUUGUUAUUUCUGGGAAUGCAUAGUUCCUUAGACUUCUGAAGUUUUGGGAGGAGGAUGCAACAUGCCGUACCAUUUGGCGUCUUGAUAGGAACCCAUGAUUUCUCUGGAAAUUAUCAGGGUGUGUUACUUUGAUGAGAACCUUUAAGUGUAUUUGAACUUUAAGAUAUAUGUACUAAUGUAUAUUGUUGGCAGAUACAGAAUUAAUGAAAUUUGAAAGAAUUUGGUGAAGAGUGCAGGCUGUCCAAAAAUCAAUAAUAUUUGUGCAAUGCUGAAUGUUAGCAUGAUACUGUGAAGGUGACAGACUCAAAGUGCAUUUUGCAAGUGUCUUAUUUUGUAGAUGAAGAGAAAGAUAAAUAGAGAAAAGAUUACCCAAGCCAGUUUUGAGGUGAAAAGUCUUGAUUUUGGAUAAUAUAACCAGAUAACGUUUUCUGAGAGGACUGUAGAGAAAAAGAAAAAGAAAAAGAAUCAUUGUAAAUCCAUGAUCUUCACGCAGGGUUAUGGAUUCUUCCCGAAUGUCGUCUGGCAACAGUGACAAGAUGGGAAAUGACCCCGAUGAACUGACAGAAAUAAUCUGUGAUGGAACCACCAACAAAAGGUGACGUAUAUACUCAGAGAGAGAGAGAGAGAGAGAGAGAGAGAGAGAGAGAGAGAGAGAGAGUGAGUGAAAUGCAGACGCGGCAUGAUCCAUGGGAAUGCGGAAUAUUCUGGACAAUGAUUCUAAGAUCUUUUCUAAAAUUUCGGAUCCACUGAGCUAAGUCAUGUUUAUCAUAUUCUUAGAUUCACAGAAUCCUUGUUCAAAUAAGUUGGUCACAUCACUGUCCCAUGUAGGAAAUCUCAAAUGACAUGUUGUUGCAUUUCUUGGUGUUUACGUUAACAUGGAACAACUCUCCAGGCUCCGUGACGAUUUGUUAUGAGGACCAAAUAAGUGUUAAACACUUAGGAUGAUGUCUGGCACGUAAUAAAUACCAUUUAAGUGCUUAUUACAUGGAACAAAAGUUUUCCGUGUACUUAGUCAUGUCAUCUGAAAACAGCGAUAACUUUCAUUUUUCCUGUCCAGUCCUUAUACCUCUCACUUCUUUUUCUGACGUCAUUGAGCAGUGUUGGAAGGCAUAUGGCUCUUGGGAGGAAAUAAAAGGAGGUCAGGACUGGAGAACAGGAUUGAGGGAGAGAGAGGUGCGCCACAAGGAUGAGGGCUGGCAGGGUCAGGUUUGAAGGGCAUUGUAGGCUCUGCUGAAUGGUUUUGGCUCAAUCCUAGUAGCACUGGCAAGGCAAUGAGGGGUCAUGCUUGAGGCUCUGCAACCAAUACAAACUCCAAUCGUGAACCGUAGACGUACCAACUGUAGCUUUCUAGAGAGGUAGGCUUUUCUAGAGAUGCACUCCUAGACUGUGCAUUCCCAGGUAUGUGGACAUCUUUUGGGGUGAUGUCUGGGAUGUGGAGAGGGUAUGUUGUCUCUGCCGCUAUAUGGGCUUUUAAGGGCUGGAGAGUCUGUGCAGCUCGAUAUUCCCUCUCCCACGUGAAUGCUGAGAAGAGUGAGAGCUGACCACAAAACAGGGAGCCGACUCCAGACAGAGUGUGGAGAGACCCAGUGAAGAUAGCCCUUUGAGUCUUUAGUCAGGAGGUUGACAGAGCAAAUCAAGACAUAGACUCAGUAAGGGGCAUUGUUCUAAAUGCACUUUCAAGUUUCCUUGGUGGAAUAGGUUGGAUGUAGGAUGAGUUGAGACAGACAAUUUUUGGUUUUUCAACGUCAGCUUUUUUGUACUAUCUCCUUUUUUCCCCAAUCUCAUUUUCACCAGAACAAGCACCAGGAGAGCUAUUUUUGAAACACUUUUUCCAUUGUAAGAAUUCGAAACUUAUGCAGAUUUCUAAAUUGUGGUAAAUGCAUGUAACCUAAAAUUGAUCAUCUUCAGCAUUUUUAAGUGUGCCAUUCUGUAGCGUUAGGUACCUUCAUAUUGUUGUGCAGCCAACCUGCAGAACUCUUCUCGUCUUGCAAAACUGAAACUCUGUACACAUUAAACUACUCUCCCCGUUGCCCCUUCCCAAGCUCUUGGCAACCACCAUUCUACCUUCUGUCUCUGUGAGUUUGACUACUCUAGGUAUGUCAUGUCAGUGGAAUCAUGCAAAAUUUGUCUUCUUGUGCCUAGUUAUUUCAUUUAGCACAAUGCCCUCAAAGUCAAUCCAUGUUGCAGCAUGUGUCCGAAUUUCAUUUCUUUUUAAGACUGAACAAUAUUCCAACACAUACAGAAAUUUCUCGCAAAUGGUUCCAAAAGCUCCAGUAUACCCUUUACUUACUUUUCCAAUUGUUAACAUUUUGUCACAUUUCCUUUGUUACUCCCAUCAUAUGGGUAUGUAGGUAUAUAGACAUAAAUCUAUCUAUCUAUCUAUUUAUCGAUCUAUAGAUAUAUAUAGAAAGAGAGAGAGAGAAAGAAAAUACGUUUAGAUAUAGAUAUACACAUAGAAAGAGCUCUCUCUCUCAAUAUAUCUGUAUCUAGAUCUGAUUUUUAUGUGAGUUGAGGCAGAAGAUGUUUGAUAGACACACACGUGACACACACCUUCCUACACACUUAGGCUCUAUUCCUGAAUCAUUAGAGAGAAAAUGCAGACCACAUACCCUUUACUCCUGAAUAUUUCAGUUUUAUUUUUCUACCUUCAGGGACACCUAACCACAGCACAGUGAUCAAAAUCAGAAAAUUUUCACUUCCGUAACCAUAAUACGAUUACCAGAAUUGGAAAAUGAAAGCCAUAAUAGAAUAUUAUCUGAUUUAUGGUUUACAUUGCGACUCACUCUUGGUGUCAUACAUUCUAUGGGUUUGGAUAAAAGUAGAAUGACAUGAAUCUGUCAUUAGAGUUUCAUAACGAUGGAGUAUUUUCACUGCCCUAAAAAUCCUUUGUGCUCCGCCUAUUCAUCCUUCUCCCCGCCAACUCCUGGCAACCACCGAUCUCUUCCUGUCGCCCAAUUUUGCACGUCCAGAAUGUCAUAUAGUUGGCCUCAUACAGUAUGCAACCUUUUCAGAUUGGCUUCUUUCACAAAGUAACAUGCAUGUAAGGUUUCUUUUCACAGCUUGAUAGCUCGUUGCUUUUUAGCGCUGAAUAAUAUGCCGUUGACUAGAUGUACCACGGUUUGUUUAUCCGUUCAUCUGGUGCAGGACAUCUUGGUUGCUUCCGCUUUUUGGCGAUUACGAGUAAAGCUGCUAUCAACAUUUGUGUGCAGGUUUUCAUCUGCGUGUAAGUUUUGAACUCCUUUGGGUAAAUACUAAGGAGCGUAUGUUAAGCUGGAUCGUACGUUAAGGGUUAUGCUUGGUUUUGUAAGAAACCCCUAAACUGCCUUCCAGAGUGGCUGUUCCGUUUUGCCUUGCCACCCAUACUGAAUGAGUGUCUCCAAUGCUCCACAUGCUUGUCAGCAAUUGCUGUUGUUAGUGUUCCAUAUUUUGACUAUUCUAACAGGUGUGUAGUGGUAUCUCAUUGUUGUUCAAUUUGCAUUUCCCUGGAGCCAUAUGAUGUGGAGCAUCGUCUCAUACUCUUAGUUGCCAUUUUUAUGUCUUCUUUGGCCAGAUGUCUGUUAAGUUGUUUGCCCCAUUUUUUAAUCUGGUUGUGUGUGUUCUUGUUGUUUAGUUUUAAGAUUUCUUUGCGUAUUUGUAUAUUUGUUAUUCCUUUAUCAACUGUGCCUUUUGCAAAUAUUUUCUCCCAGUCUGUGGCUUGUGAUUUUAUCCUCUUGACAUUGUGUCUUGUGGAGCAGCAGUUUAAAAUGUUAAUGAAAUCCAGCUUAUCAGUUAUUCCUUUCAUGAUCUUGAUUUUGCUGUCACAUCUAGAAAGUCAUGUUUCUAAAGAGGUCAUCUCGGUUUUCUUCCGUGUUACUGUCUUCUAGGG
ensembl:lncRNA